GAUCAUGGCUCAGGAUGAACGCUGACAGAAUGCUUAACACAUGCAAGUCUUUGGCAAAGCUGUGCUUGCACAGUCUAGCCAAGGCGGACGGGUGAGUAACGCGUAAGGAACUUGCCCUGCAGUCAGGGAUAACAGACGGAAACGACUGAUAAAACCUGAUAAAGUCAGACGGACUCAUGUCCAGUCUGAUGAAAAGAAAUGCUGCAGGAGAGCCUUGCCG
rnacentral:rRNA from 1 species